ensembl:lncRNA
GAUUAAAUAUCUCCUGAGGGCCCUGGAGAGCCUGUGAAACGAUCUCCCAGACCCAGAAGGAGAUCCUGGCACCAACAGGACCUGAGCUGAAAAAUCAAAAGAGCUGAAUUCUAUCCCAAAAGAAUGCUGUGUGCAUAAUGUAUGAAGUUUUCAGAAAAACAGUCUUGAACAGACAAUUCGUCUGACCUUGGAUAAACCAGCGAUGAAAGGCACUACAACUCCCAUUUGCUGCCCAUGGAAGUACUUGAUCCAUUCUGCUCCUUAAGCUGAAAAUCCUACUUGGUCCAGGGACUCACUCCCCUGUGCUUCAGGGACUGAUGGAGCUAAAACCGCCACCCUUUCCUGGCACUCAAUCACAGAAAAUUCUUGAUAGACCCUUGAACUGCAAGGGGAUCCAGUCAGUCAAUCCUAAAGGAAAUCAGUCCUGAAUUGGAAAGACUGAGGCUGAAGCUCCAAUACUUUGGCCACUUGAUGGGAAGAACUAACUCCUUAGAAAAGACCCGAUGCUGGGAAAGACCAAAGGCAAGAAGAGAAGGAGACAACAGAGAAUAAGAUGGUUGAAUGGCAUCACCGACUCGAUGGACAUGAGUAAGACAGAGCAGAGUUUAUUUCUGAGCUCUCCCUGGAGUUUCAAAGACACCUGAGUUAUUACAAGAAGUAUGGAAUGAAUGUUUAGAGCACUAUAGGGUAAUUAGACCACUGCAGAACAUAACAAAGGUGGCUCAGUGGUAAAGAAUUCGCCUGCAAUGCAGGAGAUGCAGGAGACAUGGGUUCAACAUCUGGGUCAUGAAGAUCCGCUGGAAAAGGGAAUGGCAAUCUACUCCAGUAUUCUUGCCUGGAAAAUCCCAUUGGCAGAAGAGCCUGGAGGGCUACAAUCAUGGGGCUUGCAAAGAGUUGGACAUGACUGAGUGACAGCGUGCACGUAUAUAAAAUAAAUAUACCCACCGUUUAGAACAAGGAACUAUAUUCAAU